rnacentral:tRNA from 1 species
GGAUUCGUGGCGCAAUGGUAGUGCGUCCCACUCUAAUUUAGAAGGUUGCGUGUUCGAUUCACGUUGGGUUCA